CCUACGGGCGGCAGCAGUGAGGAAUAUUGGUCAAUGGACGAGAGUCUGAACCAGCCAAGUAGCGUGAAGGAUGACUGCCCUAUGGGUUGUAAACUUCUUUUAUAAAGGAAUAAAACGAGGCACGUGUGCCUUUUUGCAUGUACUUUAUGAAUAAGGAUCGGCUAACUCCGUGCCAGCAGCCGCGGUAAUACGGAGGAUCCGAGCGUUAUCCGGAUUUAUUGGGUUUAAAGGGAGCGUAGAUGGGUUGUUAAGUCAGUUGUGAAAGUUUGCGGCUCAACCGUAAAAUUGCAAUUGUUACUGGCAGUCGUGAGUACAGUUGAGGUAGGCGGAAUUCGUGGUGUAGCGGUGAAAUGCUUAGAUAUCACGAAGAACCCCGAUUGCGAAGGCAGCUUACUAAACUGUGACUGACAUUGAUGCUCGAAAGUGUGGGUAUCAAACAGGAUUAGAUACCCGGGUAGUC
rnacentral:rRNA from 1 species